rnacentral:lncRNA from 1 species
CCACCUCUCUAGAAUAAAAACGUUUGCAUCUCCCAAUUAAUAGGCCUGCUCAGAGGAAACAGCUUACUCCUGUGGAAGACCUCAAGCACAUAGUCAAGACACUGCCUCCAGGAGAUAGCAAUAAAGACUCUCAUCGGCUAUCCUCGUCUUAAAUUUUUGGCUCUGUUUGUUUAAUCUACUGGUAAAAGAUGUGUCUUCUAGACUAGACCAAUAUCAUGUCAAGUUAAUGGUCGUUAAGUUUUUGAGCCUGUUCCAGAGACCACCAGCCCGGAGCAAUAUUGGCCCCUUCACCAAGCUGGGAGAGACGUCUACUCCUGCAAACAGAUGAGGGAACUACUCCCAUGCUUAAUAAGAAAUAGCUUCAGAAGAAGAAAUCUUUACCCAGGACCCCUUAAAAAUAAGGAGUAUACAGUCUCUCAAGGGAGAAUGAGACAGCAAGCUAAUUGACUCCCUAUUUUAAGAUGGUCUAGAAGAAAAGGACAAAAGCUCUUUACUCAAGCUUGAGCUUAUACAACUCUCAGCCAAUCACUAGCAAAAGACCCAAAAAGCUAUUAACCACAAGCUCCUAUUUCACGGGGCUAGGGACUUCCCUGGAAACUUUACAUAGACUUAAACUCUAACCUAUAGUUACCCCUUCCUCAUUUUAAUGCUAAAAAUCAUGCCCAGAGGUGGAUAUUUAAAAUACGAAUGCUACAUAUCGAUGUAUAAAGACACAUCGUGACCCAUCAUGCAAGCACUAGAAAAACCCUUCCUAUACAUGCUCUGAUAUAACCCUUCCCUACAAUAAGACCCUACAAAAUUAACCCACUCUACUCUGGGGAGCAGCUACUUCCUCUUCCUUGCUUGUUGCUGGUUCCCUGGUGUAUAAGCUGAAUAAACUUAUGUUUGGUAUUGUCUCCUGAUUUCUAUCCUGGGAAAUUGCAAGCACCCAGGGUGUCAUUAGUAAAACCACAAAGAUUUUCCUUUUUAAUGGGUUACUGAAAGGUUUGUAUUUUUAGCUCUUCCAUUUUGGUAUAGGAUCUACACUUAAGUUUGUAAAUGGUAUGAGGUAAGAUUUGAAGUUCAUUAUUUUAAAAUAUGAAUAUCUUAUAUACAGCACUUUUGGUUGAACACAUUGUCAUCCACCCCCAUUAAAUUACCUUGGUCCUUUUGUCAAAAUUCCGUUGACCAUGCAAGUAUGAGUAUAUUCCUGUACCAUAUGUUUCUGAUGCAUUGAUCUAUAUGUUUGCUGAGUGUUAUUAUAUAUUAUUAAUUCCCCAUUGUCUUAAUUACUAAAGUUUCUAUGAAGUUUGAAAGAGAGGAUAAACAACUUUGAAGCCUACGGUUUGAUAAUAUCUUCAAUAUAAUCAUAAACAUAGCUUUAAAUGAUAGAUGAGACAAACUGAACAGAUUUACCCUACCAGUCAAAUACAUCUGAAUAGAUGAAAGAAAGACACAUUUCCAUUUUUAUGGAUGAAGAGCAUAAAAUUAAAGUUGAGGACUUUGGCUAUAAUUUCUCAGAUAGAAAAUUGUUUGUUUAUUCUAACAUCCAGGCUAUUCAGACACCAAAAUUAUAGGAUCAUGAGAAAGGUUAAAUAACAUAAAGAAUGGAACCUAGCAUCCACUUUCCACCAGAUCCCAUAAAUAAAUACAAUGAGGAUAAAAUGUGUUGAAUGGUUUACUAACUUGCAUCAACAUUGAUGUUAUUUUUUCAUACUACAGUUACUACUCACAUUAGAAUAUUAGCUCCUUGAGUGAAGAAACCUUCCUUUUGUUUACCUCUUGCAAGGCUGAAUCCAUAAUACUAGAGCAGAAAUUACCGCCAAUAAUGUUAUUUCAAGCUCCUCACAAAAAAGACAAGCCAUAUUUUCAGAUGUAGAAUGAGGAAGUAUUGACGAAUAACUUGUUAAAAAUUUUAAACCCUAUAAUAAAAACAAACAAAAAAUCAGGGUAAAAUAAUGACUAAAGUGGGUAACUUCAUCCUCUUUAGUUCUAAUUUACAUAACCUGUACAUUAGAAACACCUCUACUUAUAGUAGCCACCUCAUGAGGUGGUUGUGGUGUUAAAUGUGGCAAUUAAUUCAAGUGUUUAAUACAAUGCCUAUAAUCAUAAAUAUUGUUAAGAGUACUUACAUUUGGUAUUAUUAAUUAUCUUUGGUUAUUAUUUAUAGUCAUUGACCAUAAUCACCAAAGGAAAAUCUGUUUCUGUGAAAAAUUUGAAAGGUUGUGGGGAGGUUUGCUAUACUUGGGUUUUGCAGGAACAUGAGCUUCAAUGACAGAAAGCUCUCAAAUGGAAGGUACAAGGACGAGAGGAGAGAAGCACAUUCUCUGAAUGUUAUGCUAAGAGAAGGUUUUGUUUACCCACUUGGCAGGGAAAAAGGAGAAGAACUAUAAAAGGCUUCUUUAUACAUCAUGUUUUUCUCUACCAGAAAUUAGAGAAUUUGGGCUUAAUUUUCUUGCAAAAAAAUAAAAAAUAAUAAACAAUUAUAUAGAAAUGUAAACACAAUCCUCAUCUCCCACACCUGUUCACUAUUUAUGUAUCCUUGAGAGGAUGAAUUAGAACAAAGAGUUGUCAGUACCAUGAUGAGAAAUGCAAAAGAUUGGUGGAGAUUUUUCUCCCACCAGAUGUAUAAAAUGAAGGGUCUUAUAAAUCUUGUUAAGACCACAUUGAGUCAGGGUGCUCUGGUGGCUGAGAUAAUGGUCUUGGAGAAUCCAGCAAUUUUUAUUUCACUGUGAUGUGUUUUUAAAUAAAGUGUACAUGUGACUCAACAAACGAGCUGGUUUCUUUCAUAACUUAGUCCAGAUCUGGUAGAGGUUCCUAAGUAAUUUGGGUUUACAUUGGUCUGUAUAUGUUAUUUCUUCUUGCACCUAACCAGUGUUAUGGAGUCACAUCACACUUCACUACAGCAAGCUACACAGAAAGCCUGGUGGCACUGAGGUCAGCGCCCACACUGCUUGAAAGCUGACUGAGUCUUGGGAUCAGAAUCGUGCUUAGGGCCAGGAAAGCAAGACCUUUUCCUUAGGCCCUGUGCCUCAGGUAUUCCAUAGUUUGAAGAACCCUCCCGAAUAUUUUAUGUCCCCCACCAGUACCUGGGACCAGACUAAUUAAGCAGUGACAUCUAAACGGUACACUCCAAGACCAAACCUGUUUUCCUCAUGAUGCCAGAUAAUAAAUGCACAUACUUGAAUUUAUCAAAUGCCCUCAUUCAUGGCUGAAAACAGCCAAGACCAACAGUGCUCACAGUGCUGAGCCUGGACUGUGACUAAUUUGGUGCCAUCUCCACA